UACGUAGGGGGCGAGCGUUGUCCGGAUUUAUUGGGCGUAAAGAGCGUGUAGGCGCCAGGUAGGUCUGCUGUGAAACUCGAGGCUCAACCUCGAGACGUCGGCGGAAACCAUCUGGCUAGAGUCCGGAAGAGGAGAGUGGAAUUCCUGUGUAGCGGUGAAAUGCGCAGAUAUCAGGAAGAACACCCCGUGGCGAAGGCGGCUCUCUGGGACGGUACUGACGCUGAGACGCGAAAAGCGUGGGGAGCAA
rnacentral:rRNA from 1 species